AGAGAGAGACAUGCGCGCAUAUCAAUAAGCGGAGGAAAAGAAACUAACAAGGAUUCCCUUAGUAACGGCGAGUGAAGCGGGAAGAGCUCAAAUUUGAAAUCUUCAAGGUUUUACCUUGACGAAUUGUAGUUUAAAGAAGUGUUUUCUGCUGAAGUUUUGGUAAAAGUUCUUUGGAAUAGGACAUCAUAGAGGGUGAGAAUCCCGUAUUUGACCAUUAUUUUCAGCUUUGUGAUACACUUUCAAAGAGUCGGAUUGUUUGGGAAUGCAGUCCAAAAUGGGUGGUAAAUUUCAUCUAAAGCUAAAUAUUGGCGAGAGACCGAUAGCGAACAAGUACCGUGAGGGAAAGAUGAAAAGAACUUUGAAAAGAGAGUUAAACAGUACGUGAAAUUGUCAAAAGGGAAGCGUUUGACACCAGUGUUGUUUUCUCGAAAAUCAAUUAAAAAUGGCUAGAUUUUGUAUGUUGUAUUGACCUUUAUCAAGCUUCACUGCUACAUCUUUUCGUGUCUUUUUUAAUGCACUUUUCGUUUAACAAGUCAACAUCAGUUUCUUUUGUUGUAAAAGGGUCAUUGGAAGGUGGCUUUCUUUUCGGAGAAAGUGUUUAUAGCCUUUGGCCUCUGCAAUCGGAGAGACUGAGGUCUGCAGCGUAGACUCUUCGGGGUUAGAUACAUUUGUGCUAAGUUAUAGCUUUUUAUAGACAACUUGUUGACUAUAAUUAGUCUUGUAGCUUACUCGCUUAUGCUAUUUUACCUACGCUUAGGAUGUUGAGUCGUAGAGCACGCAG
rnacentral:rRNA from 1 species